UACGUAGGGUGCGAGCGUUAAUCGGAAUUACUGGGCGUAAAGUGGGCGCAGGCGGCCAAUCAAGUCGAGUGUGAAAGCCCCGGGCUUAACUUGGGAAUUGCGCUCGAAACUACUUUGCUGGAGUGUGGCAGAGGAAGGUGGAAUUCCACGUGUAGCGGUGAAAUGCGUAGAGAUGUGGAGGACCACCAAUGGCGAAGGCAGCCUUCUGGGCCAACACUGACGCUCAUGCACGAAAGCGUGGGGAGCAAAAAGG
rnacentral:rRNA from 1 species